GAUCUCACAUGCCACGGAGCAACUAAGCCUGUGUGCCACAACUAUUGAGCCUGAGCUCUAGAGCCCAUGAGCCACAACUACUGAACCUGCGAGCCACAACUACUAAGCCCGCAUGCCACAACUACUGAAGCCUGCACACCUAGAGCCCGUGCUCUGCAACAAGAGAAGCCACCACAACGGGAAGCCCGCACACCGCAAUGAAGAGUAGCCCCCACUUGCCGCAACUAGAGAAAGCCCGUGUGCAGUAACGAAGACCCAAUGCAGCCAAAAAUAAAAAUUAAUUAAUAAAAAAAAAAAACCUAUC